ensembl:snRNA U6 U6 spliceosomal RNA
GUGCUCACUUCAGCAGCAUGUUUGCUAAAAUUAGAAUGAUACAGAGAAUAUUGGCAUGGCUCUGUGCAAGCAUACUUGAGUUGAUUCGUGUUGAAAUCAUUUUUA